AUGGCGUGUCGUCAGCUCGUGUCGUGAGAUGUUGGGUUAAGUCCCGCAACGAGCGCAACCCUUGCCUUUAGUUGCCAGCAGUUCGGCUGGGCACUCUAAAGGGACUGCCGGUGUUAAACCGGAGGAAGGUGGGGGAUGACGUCAAGUCCUCAUGGCCUUUAUGACCAGGGCUACACACGUACUACAAUGGCCGAUACAAAGGGCAGCGACACUGCGAGGUGAAGCCAAUCCCGUAAAAUCGGUCUCAGUCCGGAUUGGAGUCUGCAACUCGACUCCAUGAAGUUGGAAUCGCUAGUAAUCGUGGAUCAGCAUGCCACGGUGAAUACGUUCCCGGGCCUU
rnacentral:rRNA from 1 species